UACAGAGGGGGCAAGCGUUAUUCGGAAUUAUUGGGCGUAAAGGGCGCGUAGGCGGCUUGGCAAGUGGAUGGUGAAAUCCCUCGGCUUAACCGAGGAACUGCCGUCCAAACUGCUUCGCUUGAGACCGGGAGAGGUGAGUGGAAUUCCCAGUGUAGCGGUGAAAUGCGUAGAGAUCUGGAAGAACACCAAAGGCGAAGGCAGCAUCCUGGGAAGUUCCUGACGCUCGGGUGCGAAAGCCAGGGGAGCGAACGGG
rnacentral:rRNA from 1 species